AUGAACAUGAGAGUUUGAUCCUGGCUCAGGACGAACGCUGGCGGCGUGCCUAACACAUGCAAGUCGAGCGAAGGGAGUACUACGGUACGAACUUAGCGGCGGACGGGUGAGUAACGCGUGGACAAUCUACCCUGUAGACUGGGAUAACACCUCGAAAGGGGUGCUAAUACCGGAUAAUGUCGAGAAGCGGCAUCGCUUUUCGAAGAAAGGAGGGAAUCCGCUAUAGGAGGAGUCCGCGUCCCAUUAGCUAGUUGGUGAGGGUAACGGCCCACCAAGGCGACGAUGGGUAGCCGGCCUGAGAGGGUGAA
rnacentral:rRNA from 1 species